rnacentral:rRNA from 1 species
AUACGGAGGGUGCAAGCGUUAAUCGGAAUUACUGGGCGUAAAGCGUACGUAGGCGGUUAUUUAAGUCAGAUGUGAAAGCCCCGGGCUUAACUUGGGAACUGCAUUUGAAACUGGGUAACUAGAGUUUAGUAGAGGGGAGUGGAAUUUCAGGUGUAGCGGUGAAAUGCGUAGAGAUCUGAAGGAACACCAGUGGCGAAGGCGACUCCCUGGACUAAAACUGACGCUGAGGUACGAAAGCGUGGGUAGCAAACAGGAUUAGAGACCCCAGUAGUCC